GCGAUCUCGCGAGAGGCGAGGCCAAAACCCUGCCUCGCUAGCGCAGGGAGAAGUCGCACCAGUCGGAGCGCAGAGGGACACGCAGACAUUUCAGCAGAGGCCUCAAAGGCAGAACAAAAUAGUGCAAGGAGCCGCACAUCCGCACAGUGCUGAGACCCUGCCCAGGACAAGCUUGAUCCUGGCACCCAAGUGACAACCUGCAUUGAAAAGGCGGAACU
rnacentral:lncRNA from 1 species